CCUACGGGUGGCAGCAGUGAGGAAUAUUGGUCAAUGGGCGGAAGCCUGAACCAGCCAAGUCGCGUGCAGGAUGACGGCCCUACGGGUUGUAAACUGCUUUUAUACGGGAAUAACGCGCGUUACGUGUAGGGCUUUGCAUGUACCGUAUGAAUAAGGAUCGGCUAAUUCCGUGCCAGCAGCCGCGGUAAUACGGAGGGUCCGGGCGUUAUCCGGAUUUAUUGGGUUUAAAGGGUGCGUAGGCGGCCUGUCAAGCGUGCGGUGAAAUGUCCGGGCUCAACCCGGGAAUUGCAGCGGAAACUGGGGGGCUUGAGUACGCGGAAGGCAGGCGGAAGUCGUGGUGUAGCGGUGAAAUGCUUAGAUAUGACGAAGAACCCCGAUUGCGAAGGCAGCUUGCUGCGGCGGAACUGACGCUGAUGCUCGAAAGCGCGGGUAUCGAACAGGAUUAGAUACCCUAGUAGUC
rnacentral:rRNA from 1 species